rnacentral:rRNA from 1 species
AUACGGAGGGUGCAAGCGUUAUUCGGAAUCACUGGGCGUAAAGGACGCGUAGGCGGGUUGGCAAGUCAGAUGUGAAAUCCUACAGCUUAACUGUAGAACUGCAUUUAAAACUGCUAACCUAGAGUAUGGGAGGGGGAGAUGGAAUUAGUGGUGUAGGGGUAAAAUCCGUAGAUAUCGCUAGGAAUACCGAAAGCGAAGGCGAUCUCCUGGAACAUAACUGACGCUCAGGCGUGAAAGCGUGGGGAGCAAACAGGAUUAGAAACCCGAGUAGUCC